UUGCUAGGAUAUAACAUCCAGUCGAACAUCGAUUUAUUAGGCAAUGUGACAAAAUCGUAUCUUUUCGCCACCUUCUAUUGUGCCAUGAAUUGUCUAAUUUUAAAUAAAACAUUGCAGGUACUAAUUAGAAACUCUUAUUCGUAUGUGCGUUUUGUCGGCAUGUUAGUAUUAUGUAUUUUUUUUUCUCCAAUUGCGCAUUCGUUAUAUUGCUGCGUUAGUUCAUUUCUCCAAUGAAAUUAAUUAUUAAAUCUAUGAAAUUAAAUCAAAGUUCUAUCAAAGCGUACAAAUAUUUAUAUUUAUAAAAAAAUUAUAUGUAAAUCAUUCGUGACUUGAUGAAAAUAAAAUAAAUUUAUAUAUUUCUUUACGUAGGAUUGCACACAUGAUAUUAUUUCGCUCAUACACAUUGCACACAUGACACUAUUGCACAUAAGCUAAAGAAACAAUAUUAACACAUUGCACACAUGAUAUUAAAACAUUCAUACACGUACAUUGCACACAUGAUAUUAUUACGCUUAGCAGCGCGAGAACUUUAUUAGGAUCUCGUCAAAGCUAUCUCGAUAACGUUGCUGAAACUGAAGCGAAAUCUGAUGUUUCAUCUCUAAAAAUACGUUUAAUACGUAUUUCUUAUAUAUAUAAUUUAGUAAUACUUUAAAACUGAAAGUUCUUACGUGUGCCUGCUUUUUAUAAUUCUUUUUCGUUUAACGAGCUAGCGACCAUCAAUUAUAAUAUAGAAAUUGAAUCGGUGUCAAGCGUAUAAUGUACAUUUAAAAUUAUUUCAAUAAAUAAAUCGUUUGUAUUACGUA